AAUAAUAAUAAUAAUGCAUUUUGGAUCGAUACCAGCUCAGUCUGGAUACAGAUAGACUUCCCGUACAACUCAUACUAUCCAUCGACAGAUUUAGCUUUGCUGUAAAAGAGCAACAAGAUUAUCAGCUGAAUGUCUCCUUAGGGCUUCAUUGAUAUUUUUAGUUUGUUCUUUUUUGAUAUGAUGUUUAAUCUAUGCUUAUCAUUCGAAAGCUAAAAUGUGAUUCUUGGAUGGGAGUAACAGCCCUCGGCAUCUCCAUUGUCCAUGUUAUCAGAACUCUCAACAUGAAAUACGGGGUAAGCCACUUUAAACCACUUGGUGCAUGGCGCCAGCAAAUAUCCGCGAAAUGCGCUGGCGUUUGGUGUCCCUAGAUAAACAAUACAAAAGGGGAACAUCAAACAUCCUCAGUAAAUGUAUGUGAUCCAUUGUGUUCCUUUUUCUGCCUAGUUUGUUGCUCAAUGUUUCAAAACCACCCCAAAUGACUCAAAAGGCCAGAUCUCUAUAGGAUAACGUAUGGAUGGCUCAUGAUCCCAUAGACAUAAAAAAGCUUUUAGACACAGGUGUCCCAGGUUAAUGGAAUUAAAAGAAAAUGCAAGCACUUAAAUAGGUUUAUUUUUUUAAUUGAAUUAUUUCAGCAUUGAAAGGAUGAUGCUUAUUCAUUUUGUUUAUUUUACGAAUAUGUUUCCUUUAAUAUAUGGAUUAUAACAGCCGGUUACUUUAAUAUUUGUUGAAUUCAGUAUUAUUCUCUGAGUCACUUUAUAUCAGCCUCAUGUUAGGAAGGUGAUCCCGUAACUGUUGGGUUUACGUGUUGUGAGCUGAUACUUUGAAUUACAUUGCACAUGGCUCCUUGGUUCUUAACGGCUAGGAUCUGCAAUCCUGUAUCACCCGUGACAUCUUCUGCAACUCUCUGUGCAAAUAUUGAUCCUUAGUGAGAAUAAGAGGGGGCUUGACAUGUCAUGUUUUGUUUCCUGUGUCGUCCCUGCAUCGCCGCAAUUUGUUUCAUGUGAACUUGCUUGUUGCCUAGUAACUGCACGUGAUCAUUACUGGAAGUCACAGAUUCUGGACAACCAGUGUAUCACUAAAACACUUGGAUAAUAACAAUUGUGAGAGGGCUGUCAAGCCAGGCCCUUGGCCCAUAGGAAUACAUGGCCUGUGUGUUGCAGCCUCACACCAUUCUUCUGUGGGUUACAUAGUGGAGGUGCGUUGGGAAGUCUGUUUGCACAGCAAAGCUGCAGUAAGGUAGCCGGGAUGAAUUGGACCGGGUUUACUAGCCCAGCUCUGUGUUAGUUUGUGUAGGGGUUGGUUCACCAGGCCUGGAAUGGCCGAUUGGGAUAUUUACGUGUGGACUGCUCUGUUUGGGGCUGGCAAGGUUGCCAGACUAUGAUGAGUAUGCAUACCUACCAAGUGUCCCUAUGUAGCAUGGACAGUCCCUAUUUUAGCCCAAAUCCCUUUGUCCCUCUUUUCCCUUUCUUUUAGGAGCUCCAUAUUGUUGGUGUGUCUGAGUGUAUAACAGAACUCCACAGCAAUAAAAUUAAAAAAGUAGUAUAUUUAAACUACAAUAAAUGUGUUUUGAAAUCAGUCUGUGGAAAUAAGAUAUGGUUCUUGUUAUAAAUUACAUUUUUAUUGUAGAAAUAAUUUAACAGCGCUGCCCCUGCACACUCACACCCUCACCCCUAAAAUGAAAGUGCCCCUAAAAGGAAAAUGACGUAGACAGGCACAGACCUGUCAUUCUGAACAACUCAGGCAGCCUCCGUCGGUCAAUAUCGCACGAGCAUGACAGUCCGCUCAUGGUUCUUCGACCCCCAGCCCUCCGCUAACGCAAGGGAAAUAAAAGUAAAUACUUAACUAUAUACGCCUCUUAACUGUAUCAUAUAAAUGCAUCUUCCAGUGUAUUACCAUUCAAGAUCACUCAUUUACUGUUGGGUGAGUGGCCCAUCAGUCUGUAUCACUGGAGAAAAUUAGCUAUAGGCAUGAAAAAGCUAAAAGCCAACCCUGUAUUCUGCUAGCCUUUCCUUGCUGUGUCUUUAGUAUAAUUGAGAAGUUUCCCUAACAGACUGCGAUUAUUGGAAAAGCCAUAGUACGGAAUGUUCCAUGUGUCUCUGAAUGAGUGUUGUGGCGAUGCCGGCCCAGAUUGCCCCAACCAGUAGCUGUGAGACUGCCAAUAAUUGGGAGAUCCAUCUUAUUAUUUCAGAUCAUGCGUUUCCCGCUUUCCCUGCGUAGUUACAGUGUACAAAGUGUUCUCCAAACAAAGCGUUCAUGGCGGUUUACAUGUGUAUAUAUGUUGUAUACAAGAUUUAUUCCAGUCUUUUUUUUAAUACAACAGUUAUGUCCAAAUAAUCUGUAAAAUUACCUACUAUUUAUUGUAAUGUGUUUUUAUUCUGCUGUUCAUAGUGUAUAUAUUUCACUUUUAAUUCAAUGACUGUUGAGAUAAUGCCAGAGCUUUAAGUCAGUAACUUGCUUAGAACGUGAUUCAGAUCAGCGGAGAGAAAUUCAUCUGGUGAAUACUGAGCAUCACGUUAACUCUUUACAUGAUGUCACCCACUUAACUAUUAAAAGCAAAGGGGGAUUUAACCCGUAGAGGUUAAUCACAUAUAUUAAAAGAUUUGGGUUCCAAUCAGCCAUUAUUAAAGAUGAUCAUUCCGUUAAUUAAUAUUAAGCCUUUUCAGGAUGUAGGACUAGCUUUAUAAGAGCUGAAGUACAUAGAUAUUUUCAAACCGCUACAGUUGAUCACUUUUCGUAAUUGAACUAAGAAAGGCAGAGGUUGGGAGAAAGAUAUAUUAAUACAAUAUAUACAGCUGAACAUAUAACAAAAAGCGUGCAUUUUAUCUGAGACCUAAACAACACGCCAUGUUUCCUCGAACAAGAGAAAUACGUUAAAUGACCAUAAUGUUCAGCUGUUUUAUUUCUAACCCUUUGAGAGCAUAUCCAAGCCUGUCAUUUUCUAAUAAUUACAAUGGUGAUAUAAAGUACCCUAAAUAAACUACAGCACAUGAACAAUAGUAAUGUCAGCCAGCUGAAACCCUUAACAAAAACUGAAAUCUAACUUAAUGUGCAAACAGUUUACUUAGUGAAUACAGUAUGCACACUUUCACAGAUUUAUAUUAGAUAUUGAAAAUCAAUAUAAUAAGUGCUCACCUCCCAGACACUACAAAGCAAAACUGAAAUAUCCUAAACUGCUCAUUUAUACAAUAUACAAAAUAAUAUAGACCUACCUGCCCUCUGAAAUCAUUAAAGGGACAUUAACAGAAAAUAAAUAAAUUAGAGAUAACCUCGAACAUGAAAUGCUUUCCCUACAAUUAAAGUUAAACAAGUGAUUAUUUGGCACAUUCAACGUUUAUAUUAUUAAAGCUAAACUGUCACAUGAAAACAGACAGAGGGAACUAGAAUAUUGUUGGGUGUUUUUAAAUGUUAUUUUUUUAAUAACCAAUGUGGAGGAGAGUAUGUAUUAGUGCACAAUGCCAACCAAUCCUGGCUGGGAUAAUAGACGUGUCUGUGAAGGGAUGUAGUGAAGAUUAUUAAAUGUUACGAAAGGUAUAUUGGAACGUCGGUAGAAUGCGAUGACUUGAAGUUGAAUAAACGUGAAGAAUUAUUCAGUUAAAAAAUGAGUUGUAUAAAACUCACAAUAUAUGGAAAUCCAAUUUAAAUUGUUUUGGUACAUGUUUAUUAAAACCCAUCACUGUGUUCGUUCUAUUCUAUAGAAAAUCCAGGGGCCGACUAUUCAGGUCUGAAGAAUGGGGCUCAGUGACAGGGAUUAAUAGAUAAACUCACCUUUGACAAUUAAGAAUUGAGAGAGCUAUAAAUCGGCAAGAUAGGUAUUAUUGUUUUAAUAUUAUCACAUUAUGGUAAUAGGGCUUCUCCGAAAGUUCGUAUUGCAAAAUCCAAUGUUCUGCGAAGCAAACCAUGAUCAAUACCCAUUGUUUAACCGCUCAUUAUUCAGGUAAAUCAUACCAUUAUUUAGAUCAAAGGUCACUACUCACGUCUCUUGUAUUAUAGGAUGUCUAGCGCUGACUGCCUUGUCCCCGAGAUAUUGUUUAUAAAUGUGUAAAGUGCUGUGUAUGGUAUGAUCAUUAUAGAUUGGAGUUUGAUAUCUGAUGGAGCAUUGAUCAAGUUAGUCUGGGAAUUAAAGGUCAAUGCUCUGUCCCCAGUCCAGGGUUUAAUAACAGACUGAAAUAACUGAGAUACUGCCGCUAUUCCAUCCAUUGGGGCUUACAGACAAAGAGCAAUUCUAGGCCAAGGAUCUGAAAGUCGAGCAGUUGCCAUGGAAACAAAUAACAUGUAUCUGCUGAUAUUACAUAUUAUUUUAGAACUCUGUCCUGGGUUGCUUUUUCACAUUGAAUCCCCUUUAAAAAGAAGCUAUAAUAAAUGCUACACAUCAGAUUGUGUGAUUACAGAAUUGGAUGUUGACACUCAUUUUCAACUUACAGGCAUCAUUGUUUUACAAGAAAGUAUUAUUAGAUAGGGAAAAGAGAGCAUAUUUUAUAUUUCAGAUGGUUAUUUUUAUAAUGGAAGGCUCGUGAUAUAGGAAACCAAGUAAAUGUAAAAACAUUGUCAGGGUUUAAUUGGCUAUAAUGCUGUGUGAAGAACCCACACCGUACCCAAGCCGGUAGAUGCCAUAUUCACGCCAAAUCUCUCUCUAAAACAUGUAUGGAAUCGCUAACUGGCACAAUACUUUGGUAUGUCCUCAUAUGUUGGUCAGUUUAAAAAUAUAAAUAAUUAAAUUAAAUUUGUAGUGUUCUUUUUAUGCGCACCUUUUAUAUUAGAAUAUACUGUCUUACUAAUAAAGAAAAAUUAAAACAUAUAUAUAUUUCCCUCA